rnacentral:rRNA from 1 species
UGGGGAAUAUUGCACAAUGGGGGAAACCCUGAUGCAGCAACGCCGCGUGAAGGAUGAAGGUUUUCGGAUUGUAAACUUCUUUGAUUGGGGACGAAUAAUGACGGUACCCAAAAAACAAGCCACGGCUAACUACGUGCCAGCAGCCGCGGUAAUACGUAGGUGGCAAGCGUUGUCCGGAGUUACUGGGUGUAAAGGGCGUGUAGGCGGGAAGAUAAGUCAGAUGUGAAAUUCCAUGGCUCAACUGUGGCGCUGCAUCUGAAACUAUUUUUCUUGAGUGAUGGAGAGGAAAGCGGAAUUCCUAGUGUAGCGGUGAAAUGCGUAGAUAUUAGGAGGAACACCAGUGGCGAAGGCGGCUUUCUGGACAUUAACUGACGCUGAGGCGCGAAAGCGUGGGGAGCAAACAG